rnacentral:rRNA from 1 species
GACGAACGCUGGCGGCGCGCCUAACACAUGCAAGUCGAACGGAGCUGAGAGAAGCUUGCUUUUCUUAGCUUAGUGGCGAACGGGUGAGUAACGCGUGAGUAACCUGCCCUGGAGUGGGGGACAACAGUUGGAAACGACUGCUAGUACCGCAUAAGCCCACGAUCCGGCAUCGGAUUGAGGGAAAAGGAUUUAUUCGCUUCAGGAUGGACUCGCGUCCAAUUAGCUAGUUGGUGAGGUAACGGCCCACCAAGGCGACGAUUGGUAGCCGGACUGAGAGGUUGAACGGCCACAUUGGGACUGAGACACGGCCCAGACUCCUACGGGAGGCAGCAGUGGGGGAUAUUGCACAAUGGGGGAAACCCUGAUGCAGCGACGCCGCGUGGAGGAAGAAGGUUUUCGGAUUGUAAACUCCUGUCGUUAGGGACGAUAAUGACGGUACCUAACAAGAAAGCACCGGCUAACUACGUG